rnacentral:lncRNA from 1 species
GAGAGGAGCUUCAUGCUUCGGGUCGGGGAAGGAAAGACAUAGAAUUUGGAUUUUUUUCUUCGUAGAGUUUUGGGAAGACUGAGGCAAUCGCUGCUGAAGUCAGUAUUGUAAUGGUGAAUCGGGAUUUUUAAUGAAGUGGGUUUGAAUACUCUUGACUGUUUUGUGAAAUCGAGUUAUGUCUGUGAUUGAAGGAUUAAAAGGGUGUCUAUAGGAUUGAGUAUGCAGAGUGAAUGAAAUUUAUUGGGUUAAUCUAACAAGACAGUCAGUGGAUAUAAGAUCGUAAGUACAAAGCGGUA